UUGCGGGGCAGCGGCAGCGGAGCCUCUGCGUGGGACGACGGCUGGGCCCCGCCCGCGAGCGCGAGUAACCGCUCCCGCACCUUGAUUGGCUGGGAUCACGCGCCAGCCGCUGCAGGAACUGGUCCCCAGAAGUGAGUGUUCACUAGUACAUAUGGAGGCUUCAUUCCUGCGCUUUGCUCCUCUCUAGAACAGCCUGCUGUAACAAACAGGUAGGUGAACCUCUCUCUAUGAGGCACUUAGCUCAAAAUGUACAAACUUGAUGCCUAAAUCCAUACCUGGGCAGCUAAAUAAAAGCCUGGGGGCCUUUCCCACAGUGCUGAAUGUGGACUUUGUUGGGAGCUAGAGGUGCUCAGUUCCUCUGAAAGUCAGGUCACUGAUUUUGGUACCUAAAAAUGUAUGUAAGUGCCUAACUUUAUUCAGCCAUGUUGGAAAAUGUUGGUCUAGGAAUGGAAAAUUGAGAUACUGGCUGCCAAAAGUAAAUGUUAGAAAAUACAGAAUAUUCUGAAGUUCGUAUGGAAGUCAACAGGGGAAUGCAAAUAGGAGCUGUUGCUGUGGAGUAGAACCUGGACACUAAGGGCUUGUCUUCACAAGGGAGUUAGUGCAGAGCAGACUAGGGCGUGACUUUACAGCACAUUAGCUUCUCUGCAUGAAGUCUUGUGAUGGGGUGAACCACGCCCUCUGAGGCCAUCUGCUGAAAGCUUUGUGUUCCUACCACACCUGUCCCAGAAAGUAGCAGUGGACAUAAGUCCUCCAAGCUGCAUAGAGAGGUUGCAGGAGAAGCAGCCAAUCAGAGAGAGGCUGCAGGGAGCAGCCAGUCAGGGCCCAGCAGGCUCACAUAAAAGGAGCUGUCGAGCCAGAGACAAUGAGUUGCUGCCUAGAGCCUGGGGAGCUAGGAUGGUGUUCCUGGCUGGCUGGCUGAAGAAGCAGCAGGACUGUGAAUAGAGCAGUUGCUGGCAGGGACCAGGGGAGCAAGAAGGAACUCCUGGCUGGCUGCCGGGACUCAGUACAAGACGUCAGUCCUACGGUAAGGGUGAAGUGUGUGUGAAGGUGCUGGGGCUGUGAGGAAGGGGAACUAAACUAUUUAAUGGCCUACCUGGAGAGCUGGGGCCAGAAAGAGUUAAGAGUCUCCAAGGAGGAAGCCCUGUAGGUAUGGCCUCAUACCAGAGUCAAGGGACUGCUGGAAGGCUAGCCCAGAAGGGGCUGCAGGACUGAAUAAGGACUGAGACAAGGGAGGGCUGCAGGAAGACACCAAUGGAAAAAGGGUACUGGGAUAGGCCCUUGUUGGACUGUUUAUCCCAGAAGGGGUGUUUUGGUUUGUGCUUCACAUGCACACUGUGUGAGACUCGGCCGGAGGGCUGAGUCACUGAAGACCUACUGCAAUCCCAGAGAGAGAGAAUGCAGGCACACGCACUCGGACAGUUGGGGCUUGCAAGAGGUGAGUGCCACCCUGUUACAAGUCCCUGUGUGGACAUUAUUGCACAGUAAAAGUGCCUUUAGACAGGUUAGCUUAAUACACUUUAUAGAGGCCAAUAAGCAAAGCAGCAUCAUGUAGUAAGAGACAAGAAGUGUGUCACUGGCUGGCUCUUUAAGGGGAAUGAGGCUCAGCUUUGCCAGUGACCAUUGAUCUCCAGCUAAUCUGAACUGUCUGAGAGAGUGAGAGGGUUGCCCAAAAGGCUGAGAGAGCGCCAUUAGGACACCUGGUGGCACUUAGAUAGGGUUGCCAACCCCCCAGGAUUGUCCUGGAGUCUCCAGGAAUUGAAGAUUAAGCUUUACUUAAAGAUUAUGCAAUGUGAUGAAACCUCCAGGAAUACGUCCAGCCAAAACUGGCAACUCUACACCUAGAGGAUAAGGCCCAAUUAAAGAUGAAUCCCAGCUGUGGGAGGAGCUGGGUGGUUACUAUAAAGAGAGGAAGCCCAGAACAGAAAGGAGCUGCAGGGAGAGAGGGAAAGAACUCUCCAAUGCCUCUCUUGGCAGUAGAGAGUGGAGCCAGGGCAGACAUGGAGAAGCCACUAAGAUGAAGCAGCCUUUGGUGGUGAACCCUGAUAAAAGGGCAGAGACCAGGCCUACAGCCAGGAACCCAUGGGAGGGGUUCAUCCGAGGAACAGAGUAUGGGGGAAACUCAAGAGGGAUGAAGGUUCAAGACUGAGGAGGGUAGUCAUGGUUUAAAAUUUAUAUUUUCAUUUGGGAUUGAUUGGGGUAUUACAGGAUCCCUGAAAGAAGGGUGACCCUGGGAGGAUAGUCAUGAAGCCCUGAGACAAAAGGGUAUCUGAGACGUUAACACAAUGUCAUUAAACUGUUAGUUGGAUUUCUGUUUAUUGGAGUCUAUUGUUACAUCAGAAGGGCUGAGAUUUUCCAGUGAUCUGAUGGUAGGGCUGAGUCACAAGAAGAGAGAGACCACUGUUGUCAGGGGGGUGCUAGAUGAAUCUGCUACACCACAUCCUGCCAUAAGUGGACACACCAGCAGGGAGUUCACUCUUCUGCAAAGUGCUAUAUGGAACGACCCUCUGUGAUGACCUUGAGCUAAGGUCACCUGGGACAAAUCAGACUCACACUCCUUUCCCUUUCCUGGGCCUAUCUGUCCAAUUUAUGGGCCAGGCAAUAAAGUGUUAAAGGCCUGGAAAAUCAAGGCAGCUGGAAUAUGUCAGUCUACCAGGCCCAGCUGCUUCAUGUGCUAAGGAGGAAGAGGAAGACAGCAGCAGAGUGAGGAAGAUGCUACCCUGGCCAGAGUGGAGAGUGGGCUGUUCAGACUGAGAAGACCUUUUGGUAUUUUGAGCUUCUUUGUUUCCUGGAAGGGCAGCUCUUUAUUUUGGGUACGUAAGAGCUCACAAUGUGACACUCCUGAAGAAACCCAAGGCCAUCUCAUUGGGUGGAACAUGUGUAGUAUCCUGUUUAUGAGCAAAGAUCAUGAGGGCUUCAUAAAUACAACAUGUAAGUGGUAUUUGUUCUGGAGGAAAGGUGGAAGGGAAGUUGAAAUCACUGAAAGAUUCAGGAACCCUAAUCAGAUUGUGACCAAAGGGAAUGAUUAUUAGAAGACUCUUUUGAUGGGAGAGAGGUGGAAAAGGAAGGAAGAUGGAGGGAUGUGAAUGAGCAACCUUAAUUCUGGUAUUAACUAACUUUUGAGUGCUUGACUUUGAAACCUUAAUGCUCUUUUAAUGUAAAUUUUUGGAUGCCGUUUUCUAAAACUUUCUAAAACAAAACUUUAAAAUUUAAAAUAAGAAAAAUUAUCACAUGGGAACAGAUUGAUCGCUGCCACGGGGUCCACUCGUCACAGGUGGUGCUGCCUCUUUGCUGCUCUGAGGAGUAGUUCUUCCCAUACCCAAGGCCCUCUUCUGCUGCUCACUGCACACCCAGCUACCGCUCCCUCUCUCACUCUCUGUGGCUCAGGGUGCUCCCUCUCUAUGACUUGGCCCUCCAGCCAGGUCACUGUGCAUGUUUCCUCCUUCCAGGUAUCGGAGUCUUUCCUUACCAGAAGUUUCAGGCAGUCUUCCCAUUCGCUGCCCUAUGGUGCCGCUUCCCCAAUGGCUGGUAGAGGAAUCCAGGCCCACCCUCUACUCUGGGUUUUGGCUCAGGGACUCUCUAAUCAGUAGACAAGGCCUGCACCAUCCUGAACCUUGCUGCCUUUUUCCUGAGCCUUUCCUACACACCUAGCUCCCCCACUCUGGGUUUACCAGGCCAAACUCCCUCCUCUCAGGGAGUAACUGCAGACUAAUUUCUAUAGCCCCAAACAUACCUCCCUUCCCCCAGGGAGUAACUGCAGACGACUUCCCUGCAGCCUCUUUCUGCCACCAGCUCCCGGGCUUUAUAGAUGCCUCUUCUGUUUCUACACAGGUGAGCUUCCCCUAAUUAGAGCUUUCCUUUCAACCUAAUAAGUGAAUUGGCCCCUCUGUUAACCCCUUCAAGGUGAGUGUGGGGGGCACACCCUGUCACAAUCCCCCACAUGGCUCAUGAGCAAGGGUGAGACCUUUAGAUUCACAGCCCAGUCUUCUGCCAUUUGAGCUAACAGAGUAACGGAGCAGUAGAAGGCUGUUAUCUAUCUACUGUGUGGACCUGCCAUCACAUAUGGGUUUCAUGCCUCUUUGCUGACAACAAAGGAAUGCCAAGGCUCAGGAAUCCAGGUUUAAUUCUAGAUUUGGGGGGGGGGGUAAUGUGCAGUGGUGGCAGACCAUUCUGCCUCUCGCCUCACUUUUUCCUGUCCCAUUCUGCUCCUGCCUUUACCUCUGACCAGCUCUAGCCACCCCUUUUUUGUCCCCAGCUCCUGCCCAUGGUUCCCCUAACCCCUGUCUCUAUCUUUCCCCCAGUCUUCUCCUUCCCCUUUUCCUCACUCUUGCUUCUAUCCCCCUUCUGGUCUUCUUCCCUCCUCUGUCUCUGACUCUUCCCCCUUGUUCUUGCCUCUAUCCCCCAUUCUGGUUCCUGCUCCCACCCUUAUCACACACCCCCCACCUCAGCUCGCCUCAUUUGAAUAAGGGACUUUCCUUCCCCUCUUCCUCCUCACUGUCUAGACACCAGCAGGGAGGCAUUGAGAGCACAGGAGAGAUGGUCUCCUUGAUUUCCCUCUGGUCCAGUGUCUGACAUCACAACAAUCUCUGGAAACCAGGACAGGAAAUCACAAGGAAGCCCUGCUCAGCCUGUGCAGGCCAGGGUGGAGCACACUCCAUCACUUUGUGGGAAUGUGUGUGUACAUAGGAGCAGGGAGGGGAUGGAGCAUGCUCAGUGCAGAUUGAAUCUUUGGAGAAUUUAGCUGCAAAACUCUAACAGGUCUCAACUGAGUAUGUGCAAACUGAGAUUUUUCAAAGACUUAAAAUUUGACCAAAUUUGUGUGGUUUGUGACGGCAGCGGCAAAAGACACACCCUUGCCACCAGGGUAUUUCCUCCUGCCAAUUUUAUGUCCCUUCUCCCAAGCAUAGUGGCACUAAAGUUUCUCGGCCAAAUAAUUGUAAAAAAACAAUUAACAUGGACAAAACAAUGCAUUUCCCCCCUCAUUAGCUGAAAUGUCUGAACUACUUUAUCUGAAAUUUUAAAUUAGCCUGAGACACAGACCUGGUACGGGUGAUUUCAGCCCAAAUGGUUUACUUCUGGCAAAGUUAUAAGCAACUGAAACAUAGUCUUAUAAUAGAAAAUGGUGGGCAACCUUCAGCAUAGGUGCCAACUUCCCCCUCUGCCCUGUGUGUGCUCGACCCCACCCUGGCCCUACCCUUGCCUGCCCGUGCACCACCGUCACCCUGCCCCAAUUCCACCCCCUC